AAUAGAUACCCAGGUAGUCCACGCCGUAAACGAUGGAUGCUAGCCGUUGGAUAGCUUGCUAUUCGGUGGCGCAGCUAACGCAUUAAGCAUCCCGCCUGGGGAGUACGGCCGCAAGGUUAAAACUCAAAGGAAUUGACGGGGGGCCCGCACAAGCGGUGGAGCAUGUGGUUUAAUUCGACGCAACGCGAAGAACCUUACCAGCUCUUGACAUUUCCGGAUCGUUUCCAGAGAUGGAUUCAUCCUAGCAAUAGGCCGGAGGACAGGUGCUGCAUGGCUGUCGUCAGCUCGUGUCGUGAGAUGUUGGGUUAAGUCCCGCAACGAGCGCAACCCUCGCCAUUAGUUGCCGUCAUUCAGUUGGGCACUCUAGGGGGACUGCCGGUGAUAAGCCGCGAGGAAGGUGGGGAUGACGUCAAGUCCUCAUGGCCCUUACGGGCUGGGCUACGACACGUGCUACAAUGGCGGUGACAAAGGGCAGCGAACCCGCGAGGGGGAGCUAAUCCUCAAAGCCGUCUCAGUUCGGAUUG
rnacentral:rRNA from 1 species